AAAUGGAUUUUCUACAAUGGAUUUAAGAAACUUUACUUUAUCUUCUCAUUCCUGUGAAAAUAUUUAGGGGACGAUUUGUCUGUUUGAGUUUAUAGCACUCAUUAAAUUAUCAAAAGAUGUUAUAAUUUUUUUUCUUUUUUCUUAUUUUUAGUUUAUUGAUAUUAAUACUUUCAUUGGUCUGAUAAAACAUUUAUAUUAUGGAUCUAUUUUUUUUCUCAGAAUAUAUAUCAUUACUGAUAUGUUUCCAGUUACUUUUUAAAGGACAUGAUAGCAGAUGAUCAGAUGUUCUGAGACACUGUAAUUGCCCGUUCUGAUUUCACUUGAAAGUUUUUCUGAAGUCUAGUUCUUAGAAAUCUCUUUUAAAAGGUAAAAGAUCAAAUUGAUUUUCUAUAUAUUUUAAGAUGCCAUCAUUCAAUUGCUGUCCAUCUACAACUGUUCGGUGUAUACUUCUGUGUGGUAUUCAUGGUGCUGACUCACCAGUUCUUUCUAGAGAACAGAUAACAAAAGGUUUAUUCACCUGAAGGUUACAUUUCUGGUACGUUUUUCCUGUUCUUGGACACAUAUCUUAGGCAAAAACAUUUUUUUCAUUGAAUAGGAAACCUUCUUGGUCUCACUUCUAUUCAUGACACAUGGGCUGGAAAAGUAUAGUUAAGAGCCAGAGAGUUUCAGAGAUGUUUACUUUGGUCCAUGUGGCGUUGUCACUCAGAGAGAAAGAGAUCAAGGGAGAGCACAAGCAGGGGGAAUGGCAGGCAGAGGGAGAAGCAGGUUCCCUGCCGAGCAAGGAGCCUGAUGCGGGACUUGAUCCCAGGACUCUGCGAUCAUGACCUGAGCCGAAGGCAGACGCUUAACCGACUGAGCCACCCAGACCAUGCUUAUGGCCAAAGAGAUGUCAACAAAAAUGACUGCUGUCCCUUCUGG
rnacentral:lncRNA from 1 species